rnacentral:rRNA from 1 species
ACGCUCGACACCUACGGGAGCAGCAGUGAGGAAUAUUGGUCAAUGGGCGCUAGCCUGAACCAGCCAAGUAGCGUGAAGGAUGAAGGCUCUAUGGGUCGUAAACUUCUUUUAUAUAAGAAUAAAGUGCAGUAUGUAUACUGUUUUGUAUGUAUUAUAUGAAUAAGGAUCGGCUAACUCCGUGCCAACAGCCGCGGUAAUCUGAGCGGCUGGCAAGGC